UACGAAGGGGGCUAGCGUUGCUCGGAAUCACUGGGCGUAAAGGGUGCGUAGGCGGGUCUUUAAGUCAGGGGUGAAAUCCUGGAGCUCAACUCCAGAACUGCCUUUGAUACUGAGGAUCUUGAGUUCGGGAGAGGUGAGUGGAACUGCGAGUGUAGAGGUGAAAUCCGUAGAUAUUCGCAAGAACACCAGUGGCGAAGGCGGCUCACUGGCCCGAUACUGACGCUGAGGCACGAAAGCGUGAGGAGCAAACAGG
rnacentral:rRNA from 1 species